rnacentral:rRNA from 1 species
UUCCGGUUGAUCCUGCCGGACCUGACUGCUAUCGGAUUGAUACUAAGCCAUGCGAGUCAUUGUAGCAAUACAAGGCAUACGGCUCAGUAACGCGUAGUCAACCUAACCUAUGGACGGGAAUAACCUCGGGAAACUGAGAAUAAUGCCCGAUAGAACACUAUACCUGGAAUGGUUUGUGUUCCAAAUGAUUUAUCGCCGUAGGAUGGGACUGCGGCCUAUCAGUUUGUUGGUGAGGUAAUGGCCCACCAAGACUAUUACAGGUACGGGCUCUGAGAGGAGUAGCCCGGAGAUGGGUACUGAGACACGGACCCAGGCCCUAUGGGGCGCAGCAGGCGAGAAAACUUUGCAAUGUGCGAAAGCACGACAAGGUUAAUCCGAGUGGUUUCUGCUAAAGGAACCUUUUGUUAGUCCUAGAAACACUAACGAAUAAGGGGUGGGCAAGUUCUGGUGUCAGCCGCCGCGGUAAAACCAGCACCUCAAGUGGUCAGGAUGAUUAUUGGGCCUAAAGCAUCCGUAGCCGGCUCUGUAAGUUUUCGGUUAAAUCUGUACGCUUAACGUACAGGCUGCCGGGAAUACUGCAUAGCUAGGGAGUGGGAGAGGUAGACGGUACUCGGUAGGAAGGGGUAAAAUCCUUUGAUCUAUUGAUGACCACCUGUGGC